UACGUAGGGCGCAAGCGUUAUCCGGAAUUAUUGGGCGUAAAGAGCUUGUAGGCGGUCUGUCGCGUCUGCUGUGAAAAUCCGGGGCUCAACCCCGGACGUGCAGUGGGUACGGGCAGACUAGAGUGUGGUAGGGGAGACUGGAAUUCCUGGUGUAGCGGUGAAAUGCGCAGAUAUCAGGAGGAACACCGGUGGCGAAGGCGGGUCUCUGGGCCGUAACUGACGCUGAGGAGCGAAAGCGUGGGGAGCGAACAGG
rnacentral:rRNA from 1 species